CAGGACCUAUCUGCACCCCCUGGCUACACGCUCACUGAGAACGUGGCCCGGAUCCUCAACAAAAAGUUGUUGGAGCAUGCCUUAAAGGAGGAGAGGAAGCAAGCCACCCAUGGCUCCUCAGGUCUCACCAGCGACAGCCACCCUGGAGAAGCAGUGCCAGCUGAACCAGGAUCCAUGGAGAACGGCGUGUGGAUUCUCAGGCCACCUCAGUACAGACCAGCAGUUUGUCAUCUUUUAAACCAACCAUUUUCAUUGGAAUCAGGAACUGCCUUGUUCUGCGCUCGCGCCAUCCCUAGAGCCCUGCUUCUCCAGGCCAGAGAGACCAGCAAACCGCCGCCUUCCAUCCCGUUGGGCCCCACCUUCCCCUACUGCCUCUCAGUCUCAGUCACCCGGAGACCCAGUGUCCUUGGAGGAACGCGGUGAGGAGGACCCACCUGAGGAGAAGCCACACCCAUGACAGGAAGCAAGCUUGCAUGGAUGUUCACCGGAAUAAUUCACUGUAAUUUGCAUAACCAGACUAUCACCCUCAACCAACCUUCGCCCCCAAAAGAAAGACGUAGCUUUCUCAAGGUCAAAGGAUGUUUUUCAAAAACACACGGCUACUACUGAAUGUUCAACCCGGUAAACUGAGUUGUUUCGGGAAUGAAGCAGUAAACGUGCCUGUAAUAAUUUUUUCAUAGCUCAGAAAACUAUUUUUGUCUCCAUCUUUUUUACACACGGUAUAUUAAACAAAAAGAGGUAAAUAAGGUAUAAACAGAUUUAAGAGUUUUAAAAACAAUGUACAUUUUAAGAGCUCUCGAGCGCCCUUGUC
rnacentral:lncRNA from 1 species